rnacentral:rRNA from 1 species
UACGUAGGGCGCAAGCGUUGUCCGGAAUUAUUGGGCGUAAAGAGCUCGUAGGCGGCCUGUUGCGUCCGCUGUGAAAUCCCGGGGCUCAACCCCGGGCCUGCAGUGGAUACGGGCUGGCUGGAGGCAGGCAGGGGAGAACGGAAUUCCUGGUGUAGCGGUGAAAUGCGCAGAUAUCAGGAGGAACACCGGUGGCGAAGGCGGGUCUCUGGGCAGUAACUGACGCUGAGGAGCGAAAGCGUGGGGAGCGAACAGG